rnacentral:lncRNA from 1 species
UCUUGAAUGUAAAGUUAAGAAUUUGGAUUUGACUCUUUAGGUGAUUGGGAGCCACUGAAAAUUUCUGCAGAAAGAACUUCAGCUGUCCUUUAGAAAAUCAGAGAGACAAACUUGGAGGCCAGUGAAGAGAGCACCCUUCUGCCUAUAGAAAUCCUCCUCAUUCAUCAAGAUUCAAUUCCUGAGACAUCUCCUCUGCAUCUCCCACACAAUCACAGUUAAUGAUUGCUCCUUCGGAAUACAUUUCUGGGGAGUGGUGAGCAAAUGUCAGAGAUGGCAGAGAAAAGAUGAAGUGCUAGAGGAAUGUUUUGCCUUUCAG